AGGAUAAACGCUGGCGGCGUGCCUAACACAUGCAAGUCGAACGCCCCUUUGUCUCGCAAGAGAGAGAGGGAGUGGCGGACGGGUGAGUAACACAUGGGUGACCUACCCCACAGUGAGGGAUACCGGCGAGAAAUCGCCGACAAGACCGCAUACGCUCUUUCUGAUGAAGCGGAGAGAGCAAAGGUUCUCGCAAGGGAACUGCUGAGGGAUGGGCCUGUGGCCGAUUAGCUAGUUGGUGGGGUAAGAGCCUACCAAGGCGACGAUCGGUAGCUGGUCUGAGAGGACGAUCAGCCACACUGGGAUUGAGAACGGCCCAGACUCCUACGGGGGGCAGCAGUGAGGAAUUUUGCGCAAUGGGCGAAAGCCUGACGCAGCGACGCCGCGUGGGGGAUGAAGGCCUUCGGGUUGUAAACCCCUUUCAGCAGGGACGAAGCGAAGUGACGGUACCUGCAGAAGAAGCGCCGGCUAACUACGUGCCAGCAGCCGCGGUAAUCGUA
rnacentral:rRNA from 1 species